AGAUUGAACGCUGGCGGCAUGCCUAACACAUGCAAGUCGAACGGGAGUAGCAAUACUCUAGUGGCGGACGGGUGAGGAAUACGUAGGAAUUUGCCCUUAAGUGGGGGAUAACCCGGGGAAACCCGGAUUAAUACCGCAUGACCUCGAAAGAGCAAAGUGGGGGAUCGCAAGACCUCACGCUUUUGGAGAAGCCUACGUCGGAUUAGCUAGUUGGUGAGGUAAUGGCUCACCAAGGCGACGAUCCGUAACUGGUCUGAGAGGAUGAUCAGUCACACCGGAACUGAGACACGGUCCGGACUCCUACGGGAGGCAGCAGUGGGGAAUAUUGGACAAUGGGCGCAAGCCUGAUCCAGCAAUGCCGCGUGUGUAGGAAG
rnacentral:rRNA from 1 species